GUAGGAGCCGGCUUGCUGGCGAUUAACGGUCACCCCGUUUGUCUGGGUAACCGCGGUGCCUUGAUCGCCAGCAAGCCGGCUCCUAC
rnacentral:antisense_RNA from 1 species